UAUUUAUGAAAUAUUAUUUUAAAUUUUUAAAAGUAGAUUUCAUUUAUUGUACCUUUUGUAUCAGGGUUUAUCAAAAUUUUAGUAUUUAUUUUACUUGUCUCGAUUUGGGUUGAUUUAUAAAUAAUUUAUAGUUAAUUUAUCAUAAUUAUUAUUAAAUUAUUUAUAGAAAUGAGAUGUUAAUCGUUUCCCAAGAUAUGAAGUUUCUUAAGAAAAAAUUUAAUUUUUGAAGUUAAUUGUUUUUAUUUAAUUUUUUAAGUAUAAAUAUUAACUUAUUUAUUCUUUAAGGGAUAAGCUUUGAAGUUAAUAACCUAUAAUUUGUUUUAUAGAAUAUAAUAGUAAGCUUUAAACCAGCUAUCUUUAAGAUUACGUUUUAGUUCAUUAUUUUUUAUUUUGAUUUUAUAAUUAUUUUAGGUUUUUUAUUAUUAUUAUUUAUUUAAUUUUAAAAUUUUUGUAAUAAUGAUAGAAUUAGUAUAUUUAUUUGUAUACAAUUUUUACCUUGUGAAUUUAUUAUAAGGAACUAGGCAAAAUUGAUUUCCGCCUGUUUAUCAAAAACAUGUCCUCUUGAAAAUACUUUGAGGUCUGGCCUGCUCACUGAGCAGAUUUUUAAAGAGCCGCGGUAUUUUGACCGUGCAAAGGUAGCAUAAUCAUUAGUCUCUUAAUUAGUGGCUGGAAUGAAUGGCUUGACGAGAAAUCAACUGUCU